rnacentral:rRNA from 1 species
AGUGGCGUACGGGAGAGUAACACGUAAGUAAUCUACCUUCGGGUGGGGAAUAACUUAGGGAAACUUAAGCUAAUACCGCAUAACGCAGCGGCUCCUAAUGGAGACAGUUGUUAAAGGAUUUAUUCGCCUGGAGAGGAGCUUGCGGCAGAUUAGCUAGUUGGUAAGGUAACGGCUUACCAAGGCAACGAUCUGUAGCCGGUCUAAGAGGACGGUCGGUCUCACUGACACUGAAUAACGGGUCAGGCUCCUACGGGAGGCAGCAGUCGGGAAUUUUGCGCAAUGGGGGAAACCCUGACGCAGCAACGCCGCGUGAAGGAUGAAGUCUCUAGGGAUGUAAACUUCGAAAGUAUAGGAAGAAUCAAUGACGGUACUAUACAUAAGCUCCGGCUAACUACGUGCCAGCAGCCGCGGUAAUACGUAGGGGGCAAGCGU